AGAAAGUCUUUUCAUUGCACCGUGACUCUGAAGCUUCUACUGGGAAGAGGGUCUCGGGCCUGAACCUCUCUUUCAACUUCAGCCCUUUAGCAAGUAUGAAAAAUGAACGUUACUUUGCUCCGUUGAUGAAGGAAGCCCAGAGAAACUCUUCUUUUUCAUCAGGCUAAGCCUCGGUCUCUCAGCAAAGUUUUCUUUACUGAGACUUAGAGAAAGAGAGGUCAGCAACCUGAGAUAACUAUAAUUUUUCCUUUUACCUCCACAGGGUUCCUGAUCUCACCUGAAGACAAGCAUGUGCCCUGGAACAAGAAUUUUUCUGUCUUUCCUCAGUCCCAGAGGCAGGUUCUGGGACAGACUUCGGCCUCCCAAGGGGAUGUUACUGCCAAGCAAGAAGGAAACCCCAUAAAGGAGAUAUCCUGACUCUAGGGAAAGGUGGCAGCUUGGACAUGGACCUCCUCUGAAUUCACCCUCUUAUCUUUGGGCUGCACAAAGGUAGUGAUUUAUGUUUGUUACCUUUAU
rnacentral:lncRNA from 1 species